CCCAGUUUAUUUUGAUUUAUUUAUUUAUUUUUUCCUUACAGGCAACUGAACAGAGUGUAGGAGCAAGAGUGGAAAAUAUCACUAGGAUUGGACCUGUAACCUCCAUUGCUGCUGUCCCAUUCCACACAGUGCUCCUAGUUGCCUGCCGCUCAC